GGGGGCGACUGGUUUCGAUUGUGUAGGUGGCUCCGUGGUUGCGCGCCGAGGUCCUCGGGCUCCUCGUAAAACACUCGGGAAAAUCACAACUGCGAACAACAACUUCGCUCUCGCUGCGUAAGACCUAGUCUUACCGUAGCAGUGCCUGAGAGGUAGCCCUGCCCGGGGCGACGCUCAGGUAUCGCAAAUCCGGGCUGGCUGUCUGGCGCGCCCUCCGCCAGAUGGCGAGAUCAAGAAGGGCUCAUCCGGACGACGGCGGCCACUCGGCCAGCGUACGGAAACAUCAAUCGAGUGGCUACGCGCGUAGACGCUGUGGAAGAUCUUAUGCAAGACGAGGGUUCGAAUCCCUCCGCCUCCACUG
rnacentral:tmRNA from 2 species